UACAGAGGGUGCAAGCGUUAAUCGGAAUUAUUGGGCGUAAAGCGCGCGUAGGUGGUGAUACACGUUUGAUGUGAAAUCCCCGGGCUUAACCUGGGAACUGCAUUUGUGACUGGCAAGCUAGAGUAUGGCAGAGGGGGGUAGAAUUCCACGUGUAGCAGUGAAAUGCGUAGAGAUGUGGAGGAAUACCGAUGGCGAAGGCAGCCCCCUGGGCCAACACUGACGCUCAGGCACGAAAGCGUGGGGAGCAAACAGG
rnacentral:rRNA from 1 species